UAAUAUGAAAUAUACAAAAAUAGAGAUAAUACACUACAACAAAAUGUGGAGUUUUUACGCACUUGUAUUUCAACGCAAAACAAACUGUCGCAAAUAAGCGUGAAAUCUUUAGACGCUUAUUUUUCUACGCUUAAAAGAGUUGAUAAAUACACUAUCUUAAAAUGUCGAAAACCCAAAAUCUUUUGAUUUUCAAAAGCGGGAAUUACACCGCCCAAACUAAAAUCCUAGCUGCAUAUUUUUCUCUCAUGCUUUCUCUUUCCUUGCAUCUCUUCCCUUCAAUCACUAAAGAAGCACUAGGUCUUAAAAUUUUGCUUCAAUUUUUGCAGAUCAAACUCUUCUCACUUGAAUCUUAACUUUAUUUUGUUAAUUUUAUUUGAUUGUUUAAUUUUUCUAGGGUUGUCUGAAAAUAGAGGCACCUCAAGUACAAGAAUUUUCAGUUCACAUCAUUCAACCGCCGCCACCGUCACCAUACUCACUGCCAACAUUACCAUCGUCGCCGCCAUUGUAUUACCACCUUUCAGGUGACACGACUAAUUAGUUGGUUCAAUUUCUCUUCUUUAUCUCCUCUUUAAAACUCAGUUUUUGAGUUAAUUAUUCCUUCUAACAAGAAGCACUUAGAAUUGGAUCCUAUGAUUGUUGGAAGAAAUUUUCUGAUCAAAGUUAAUGCAAACAUUGGAAAUUCUGCUGUUGUUAGUUCAAAUGAAGAGGAAGUCCACAAACUUCAAUAGGCAACUAUGUGGGGCGCCGAUACAAUCAUGGAUUUGUCAACAGGUCGACAUAUUCAUGAAACCCAUGAGUGGAUCUUACGCAACUUUACUGUACCAGUUGAAAUAGUCCCUAUUUAUCAGGCAAUCGAAGAGGUGAAUGGGAUUACUGAGGAUCUCACCUGGGAAAUUUUUAGGAAAACCUUGAUUGAACAAGCAGAGCAAGGACAAAUUUGUGUUACCUGAUACGAAAGAGAUUCGUCGAAUGGUAUUGUCACAUACAAAUAUGAAGUGGAAGCAUUACAAGUGGGAGCUUCAAAGGGACUAUUAUCAACCUAAUGUAACAAAGGAAAAGAUUAUUGAGAAUAUGCCUAAAAAUGUGAUAAAAGAGCAGUGGAUUAGCUUGGUUUCUUACUGGGCCUCAGAAAAGUUCAAGAAAUUAUUAACAUUGGGAAAAAGAGCUCAAGAAAUGCAUAAUCAUGUACAUAUUACAUGGUCAAAAAGUUGCUCAAUGGAAAACUGAAUUUGUAAGUAUGACUACAACUAUUGUUAAUGCUUAUAAUGAGACAAUUGCAUUUGCUUGUUUUUGAUGUUGCUAGAUUACUUAAAUCUUAUAUAUGAUGCUUAUAUCUGUGAUAAGUUUAUUUCUAUGUGAUAAUCCUUUGCUUUUAUAUAGGUUAAGUUUAAUCAAAGAGAACCUAGUGGGUUAGAAAUGUGGAAUCGUACACACACUACAAAGAGUGGUGGUUAUGUAGAGGGUACAUACACUCAAGAAUUCAUGGUAUAUUAGAGUAUCAAAUUGAAAACAUUUAUAAUUAUGAUAACUGUAAUGGCAUAUUUCAUAUAUACUUUUGUAUUGUUAUAGGACAUUGCUAAAAGUAAGGUUGAUGAACGUUUAUGUGAUUCGAAACAACCUCGUGAGGUGAUUGAGAUAGAAGUUUUUAAUGAGAUGAUGUAUCAAGAAGACAAACGUAAUUAGUGUGUUGUUGGUUAUGGUCAUGGGUUUACUAUAUCUCAUGUGUUUGGUAUUGAAGCUCAAUUACGAAAGAGCAAGAUGGGUGAUUGUGGUGGUACUUUAAGUGAUGUUAUGAGGCGUAAAUCCUACCUAUUGUUUGUUGAGAGAAAAAAUGAUCAGGUUAUGAGAAAAAAUGAUGAGGUUAUUUCCCAACCACAAAAAGAAAUGAUGAGGUUACUUUCUAACUUCUGAAAAAAAAAAGAAGUUGAAGAACUAAGAUCUCAAAAUGAAAAAAUUCUCACUCAACUUGAUCAUUUAUCUUCAUUCUUAGAUCAGUUACAACAAAAUCAAAGGACAAGUAAGAAUCAUUAUUAUUUUUAUCAUCCAUUGAAUCUUUUUCAUAUUACUUUUUAGUACUUAUGGUAGAAGUGUAAUUACAAGUUUUUUCAUGUUAUCUUUUGCUUGUAGUUGGAUGAAGUAGACUCUUCAUUCUUUUAGUUUUGCUAAAGUUGUGCAUUUUUUUUUGAUUUGUUGUAGAUUUUUUCUGUUAAUGUUCAUAUUAUGACCAAGAAAUCAUCUUUUGUGAAGGUCUUGACGCUAAAGUGGAAAUUGCAACAUAAUGAAAACAAUUUGCAGGCCUUUUACUUUUGACAAACUUUACGCUUUAUAGAUCUUGCACUCUUUAACAUUGACGAAUGUAUGAGUUUAUGUGAAUAUUAAAAUUAGGCAUUUUUGUUGGUUGGACUUUUCUGACCAAGCUACAAAAACUUAAGGUCAAAGCUCCAUCAACGAAUGUAUGUGCGUAUAUGAAUAUCGAAUUCUAAUACUUUUGUGGAUAUGAUGAUUUGGUAUGAUGUUUGUUGGUAAUUAUGUAUGUUUGAUGAAUUUUAUAUAGUAUGGAAAAGGCUAAUAUAUAUUAGGGUGAUGAUAAGUUGUCAAAAGUAAAUACAUUUUCAAUAAGGGUGUUCAAAACCCGAUACCGGGUCGACCCGGAUCCGGAAAUUCGGGUAUCCGCUUUUUCGGGUACCUAAAAAUGUGACCCGGUUCCGACUCAGUUUUGUUGAUUUUCUAAAAAUUGUGUUUUUUUUUUCUUAUUUCUUUUAACAUUUUUUUUAUAUAAACUUCAAAUUCUAACCAUCAAUUACUAAUCAGUCUAGAAUUCUAUUUCUAAAGUUGACGUACAAUAAAUGAAAAAAAGAGCUUGGUGUUUGGUGAUCGAAACUUAUAGACGUAUAAUUGAA